rnacentral:lncRNA from 1 species
GGAGAAGGCCCAGUCAGAAGCCCCCCAGGAAAAUCAGGACCCGGACCCCAGCUUCCUCAUCAGAAGAGAGGCCACUGCCUUUGCCACCACUAAGUCACCAGAGAGCACUGGCGAGAGAUAAGGAGGGGCUCAAAGAAGAGAGGUCUGUGGAGCAGAUCUGCACUGAGUCCCCACCUGGCUCCACAGAGGAGUCCACAUGCUUCCUCCUUCCUUUCCUGCCACUGAAGUGCUGGUCCAGGGAUCACAGUUGGGAUGCCCUGAACAGGCUCUGAGUCCCAC